rnacentral:rRNA from 1 species
GGCUAACGCUGGCGGCGUGUCUUAGCCAUGCAAGUCGAGCGGACUUAUGGGGUAACUUAUAAGUCAGCGGCAGACGGCGGAGUAACACGUAGCUAACCUACCCUCUGGACGGGGGAUAACCUACCGAAAGGUGGGCUAAUACCCGAUGUAGUCAUCCUGUAUAGGGGUGAUGAAAGGUGGGCUUCUGUUUACAAGCUCAUGCUGGAGGAGGGGGCUGCGGCCUAUCAGGUAGUUGGUAGGGUAAUAGCCUACCAAGCCGAUGACGGGUAGCCGGCCUGAGAGGGUGACCGGCCCGAGGGGCACUGAGAUACGGGUCCCACUCCUACGGGAGGCAGCAGGCUAGAAAUUUGGGCAAUGGGGGAAACCCUGACCCAGUGACGCCGCGUGCAGGAAGGAGCCCUUCGGGGUGUAAACUGCUGUCGUGUAGGGAGAAGGGUACUAAGGUGAACAAUCUUAGUACUUUGACGGUACUACAGGAGGAAGCCCAGGCUAACCUCGUGC